rnacentral:ncRNA from 2 species
AAAAAUUUUUUAUUCGGGUAUUGGUUUAUUAGGCACAAGGGAAGUCCGGUGAAAAUCCGGCGCUGUACCCGCAGCUGUGAGCUGGACGAAAGCCCAUUAAGCCACUGCCAGGCAUUUUAUAUAUUUAGGUGCUUGGUGGGAAGGCGGGCGAGUAGGAUGAAGGCGAGCCAGAAGACCUGUGCCUCACCCAAAUUAUGG